AGGACCAAGCUUUCAGCUCCUAUUACAGGUGAGGUGCCUAAAACCUGUACCUGCCUUUCAAACCCUUUAUUGUGCCUUGUUUUACAGGAAUGAGGAGGAGAAGCUGGUAGGGAGCGUUGCCAAUGCUUUCAAUAAUGGUGUGACACAAAGCAACUUCAAGAAUGUGGUGCUUUGAUUGGUCUCAUCUGUUCUGCCUAUUGGAAGAAACAGCUUUAUCAUAGGAGUGGAGGUCACUCAAUCAGCUCUGCUUGGUCACACUUUGAACUGAAGGAAAUCACAUUUUUUCAGACAAAGGCUUUCUCCAACAUUUUUACAUUUUGAAGUGCAAUGGACAAAACAAUCAUGUCUCUGCUAAACUGAAGCUGUAGCCCUGUGAUAUCCCAGAGAGAGGACUCUGUCACCUGGGACUUGCUUCCAACAUUCCUGCUGGAUUCCUUUCCAUGGAAAUUGUGUAGAGGAUCUUUUAUGGAGUCAGAAGACUGAUUCAAGCUGUGGACCUGAGGAGACUUUCAGGUUUU
rnacentral:lncRNA from 1 species